rnacentral:rRNA from 1 species
UGGAAUUCGGCAAUGGGGGGAACCCUGAAUUCAACCCGCCGCGAGAGAGAAGAAGGUUUUCGUUUCGUAAAGCUCUGUUGUAAGAGAAGAACGUGUGUGAGAGUGGAAAGUUCACACAGUGACGGUAACUUACCAGAAAGGGACGGCUAACUACGUGCCAGCAGCCGCGGUAAUAAA